GGGUAUAACAUCAACUCAAGCCUUGGCAGUGGCAGUCUGGAUGAGGUGCAGCUGGUGGCAGUGGAUGCUGGGCAUCCUCAGGUUACUGGAUAUCUUCAGGAACCAUUAGUGUAGCACUGAAUAAAUUCACCUUCAGUCUGACUCUACCUGCAUUCGAUAAGUGAAAACUUUCUUUGUCUCACGGCCAACUAAUCUGUGCAAACCAAACUGAAGCUCUCAAUUCAGUUGCUGUUCACUGGGUGCUCAUGGCAUCAGUGGGACCGAUGCCAUGGCAGAGAGGACAAGAAGUUUAUGGACAUGGCUGUUCAAGAACCUCCCACUCUCAGAGCCCUCGGAGGUUUGCCGCCAGCCUUACUCAGAGGACAUUCCAGACCUGUCACUGCGCAGCUGCUCCUGGCAGCCAGCCCUCCACGCAAAGGCUUUGCCAAGGCACUGCUUCUCUGCACCCCCAAACACUCUGCUGAAACAAUGGUUAAUAGUUUUGCACUUGCACAACUGCUAGAUUUCCUUUUGCCUUAAAAAGGAUUUGUUUACUUCAGUUAUAAAAUGGUGUUGUGUUUUUGGCGUCGCUGGC
rnacentral:lncRNA from 1 species